rnacentral:rRNA from 1 species
CCUAAGGACGGGGAUAACCUCGGGAAACUGAGGGUAAUACCCGAUGGGGAAGAGGUACUGGAAGGUUCUUUUCCCAAAAUGAUUUAUCGCCUUAGGGUGGGUCUGCGGCCGAUUAGCUUGAUGGCGAGGUAACGGCUCACCAUGGCUAUCAUCGGUACGGGCAAUGUGAGUUGGAGCCCGGAGAAGGGGACUGAGACAAGGCCCCUAGCCCUACGGGGUGCAGCAGGAGCGAAAACUUUGCAAUGCGCGAAAGCGUGACAAGGCAACUCCAAGUGAUGGCUCUUAGGAGCCAUCUUUUGUUAAGUCUAGAUAACUUAGCGAAUAAGAACUGGGCAAGACCCGUGCCAGCCGCCGCGGUAAUACGGGCAGUUCGAGUGGUAUCCGUGAAUAUUGGGCUUAAAGCGCCCGUAGCUGGUUCAGACAGUUCCUAGUGAAAGCCUGUGGCUUAACCAUGGGAAGUGCUAGGAAUACUACUAGACUUGGAGGCGGGAGAGGCGAGAGGUACGUUGGGGGUAGCGGUUAAAUGUGUUAAUCCCCAACGGACAACCGGUAGCGAAGGCGUCUCGCCAGAACGCGCUCGACAGUGAGGGACGAAAGCCAGGGGAGCAACCCGGAUUAGAUACCCGGUUAGUCCUGGCUGUAAAUUAUGCGAACUAGGUGUUCCACAACCCUCGUGGUUGCGGGGUGCCGAAGGGAAACCGUUAAGUUCGCCGCCUGGGGAGUAUGGUCGCAAGUCUGAAACUAAAGGAAUUGGCGGGGGGAUACCACAAAGGGUGGAUGUUGCGGUUCAAUUGGAUACAACGCAGCACACCUCACCGUGAUCGACGGCAGAAUGAAGGUCAGUCUAAAGGGCUUACUAGACAAGCCGAGAAGUGCUGCAUGGCCAUCGUCAGCUCGUGCUGUGAAGUGUCCUGUCAAGUCAGGUAACGAGCGAGACCCACGCCAUUAGUUGCAAACCACGUGAUUACCACGGGGUGCACUCUAAUGGGACUGCCUGUGUCAAACAGGAGGAAGGGGUGGUCGACGGUAGGUCAGUAUGGCCUGAAUUUCCCGGGCUACACGUGACAUACAUUGCUAGGCACAACGGGAUGCAACUCCGAAAGGAGAAGCUAAUCUCUCAAAACCUAGCCAAGUUUGGAUUGAGGGUUGUAACUCAUCCUCAUGAAAAUGGAAUCCUUAGUAAUCGCAGGUCACUAUCCUGCGGUGAAUACGUCCCUGUCCCUUGCACACACCGCCUGCCAAGCCAUUCAAGUGGGGGCUAGGUGAGAUCCGCUCGUGUGGGCGGCUCGAAUCUAAUCUUUAUGAGAUGGGCUAAGGCAUAACAAGGUA